GACGAACGCUGGCGGCGCGCCUAACACAUGCAAGUCGAGCGAUGAAAUUUUAACCGAUCUCUUCGGAGAGAAGAUAAAAUGGAUUAGCGGCGGACGGGUGAGUAACACGUGAGAAACCUGCCUUUCACAAGGGGAUAGCCUCGGGAAACCGGGAUUAAUACCCUAUGACACAUUUCCUUCGCAUGGAAGAAAUGUUAAAACUCCGGUGGUGAAAGAUGGUCUCGCGCCUGAUUAGCUAGUUGGUGGGGUAACGGCCCACCAAGGCCAUGAUCAGUAACCGGGCGGGGAGGGGGAAAGGUCACAUUGGAACUAAGACACGGUCCAAACUCCUACGGGGAGGAGCAGUGGGGAAUAUUGCACAAUGGAGGAAACUCUGAUGCAGCGACGCCGCGUGAGCGAUGAAGGCUUUCGAGUCGUAAAGCUCUGUCCUAUGGGAAGAUAAUGACGGUACCAUAGGAGGAAGCCCCGGCUAACUACGUG
rnacentral:rRNA from 1 species